CAUAUUUAUUCACAUGUUACAACAUUCACAUCGACUAUCAUAUUUGUAAUUCAUUUACCUCAUCAAAUAUCUAAUAAAACACACCUUCCGCCGUUUGUCAUUUGGCCACAAUAUAUAUAUACACAUCUCAUAUAUAUCUCACAUUAGCCAUUUGGCUUUACCACAUAUCCAUCUCAUACACGUUUCGCAUUAGCCAUUCGGCUUUACCUCAUAUCCAUCUCAUACACGUUUUCCAUUAGCCAUUCGGCUUUACCUCAUAUCCAUCUCAUACACAUUUCGCAUUAGCCAUUC
rnacentral:lncRNA from 1 species